GCUUCGUCGGUAGCGCGUCUGGCUCGCAACCUGAGGGACGUGGGUUCGAAUCCCGCAUGAAGUU
rnacentral:tRNA from 1 species